GAGAGAGAGAGAGAAAGAUUUUGAAGGCCAAGCAUGGUAGCACAUGCCUGUAAUCCCAGCUACUAGGGAGGCUGAGGCAGGAAGAUCAUUUGAGGCUAGGAGUUUGAGACCAGCCUAGGCAACAUAGCCAGACCCUGUCUCUAAUAAAUAAAUAAAUACGAUUUUGAACUUAGAAUAAGUAUAAAAUCAUCAAAGAGAAACUCUAUUUGUUACCAGGAUUGCCCCAGUUUCACCAUGCUGUAAUCAGUAUGAGGUAGUGAUAAUUCAAAUAAAGAUUGAAGGUAUUUUUCUUCACCUGCUGUUUGUAGGGACUUUUCCAGUAAAAAUACCCAUGAAGAACAUAGGUAUCAGAGCCAUACUUUUGUGGUAGAGAAUUAAAUCAUAGAAGUUAUUUUUUUAGAAUUAAAAAGAGACCUAAGGUAUCUGAUACAACUUCCUUGUUUUACAGAUAAAAAAUAAAUUUGGAGAAGCUGAAUGUUUUCUCUAAGGACACACAGCAAGUUAGUGGGAGGCUGCUUCCUGCAACUGAAGGUCAUUCCUCUUUGUUAGAAGACUAAGGGUCCCUGACCUGAUCUGUGGAGCACCAGGGUGGAGAGAGUGGAAUAAGCAGCAAAACGAAAAAUUGGAUGCUGUUUUCAAAAGUUUUGUUCUCAUUCUUGGAUUAUAGAUUAUCUAAAGGGAAAAUUUAACUCAACCAAAAAAUUCGUUCAGCUCCAUGAAGCUAAAGAUGCUAUAAACUGACUCUUUCCUAAAGAGCACCAAACCUGAAAUUUUUCCUGCUAGAGAGGAACUAAUCUUCAAGGACACCUGUCUAUUGCUAGACAUUAAGAAGGAAGGUGAACUCCGUUCUGUCUUCAUAAAACACAUUUUUGUCUUUCCCCCUCACUCCUCCACUGAACCCACUAUGUUUACAAGUACAAGCUAUGACUGUGGAGGUGGAAAAUCUGAUACUGUCAGCACAAGUGGAACAAAAUGAAAAGAGAAAAAAAUCUACACACCCAUCUGGACUUCCAUAUGCUCUGUAGCCCAGAGGCUAAUAUAAUUCCUUGAAUGUUGGUUAUAAAGCAAUGUGAUAUGGAUGACUGCUAUGCACUGAGCUUAUUUAGACAAGUGUUCUUUCUACUCAAUAAACCUUUGAAAGGAUUAAAGUACAAUCACUC
rnacentral:lncRNA from 1 species